ACCGAACAAGUGAAAGACACCCCCGUUGAAGAGACGGAUAUGGGACGUCCAUUGCUAAGUGGCCAGAAUGAAGAAAAAUAUCUUAUCGAUAACAAAAUGCAUGUCGAUGAAGAUGAGGAGAGCGACGAAUCACAAGGUGGUGAAAAUGAAUCGGGCGAUGGAGAUAACAUGAAUGAUGAUGAUCAUAAAGCUAAUGCACCUGCGACAACCAUUCCCAAUGAAUAACCUUUUGGAAGCUAGAA
rnacentral:lncRNA from 1 species